rnacentral:rRNA from 1 species
CAGAGCGAACGCUGGCGGCAGGCCUAAAACAUGCAAGUCGAACGGAUCCUUCGGGAUUAGUGGCGGACGGGUGAGUAACACGUGGGAACGUGCCUUUUGGUUCGGAACAACUCAGGGAAACUUGAGCUAAUACCGAAUGUGCCCUUCGGGGGAAAGAUUUAUCGCCAUUAGAGCGGCCCGCGUCUGAUUAGCUUGUUGGUGAGGUAAAGGCUCACCAAGGCGACGAUCAGUAGCUGGUCUGAGAGGAUGAUCAGCCACACUGGGACUGAGACACGGCCCAGACUCCUACGGGAGGCAGCAGUUAGGAAUCUUGCGCAAUGGGGGAAACCCUGACGCAGCCAUGCCGCGUGAAUGAUGAAGGUCUUAGGAUUGUAAAAUUCUUUCAGCGGGGACGAUAAUGACGGUACCCGCAGAAGAAGCCCCGGCUAACUUCGUG